rnacentral:rRNA from 1 species
AUGAAGAAGAUCUUGUUCAGCAUGUUCUAUUCGAUACUGGUAGUAGAAGAACCCGACUCGGUAUUCUUAAAAAAAGAGGGGAAGCAGAACCAAGUCAAGAUGAUAUGGGUCGCCCCUUCUUCUUGCUCCAAAGAUCUUACCAUUUCCGAAGGAACUGGGGCUACAUUUCUUUUCAAUUUCCAUUCAAGAGUUUCCCCUACAUACGUGGUUACCAGAUACUCAUGGGGAAGCACAUUAUAG